CUUGCCUUUUGUGAGUCUCCGGAGCUCCAGCAAGGCGAGUUCAGCUGGAAGCCCCAUUGCAGAGAGGUUCACACCAUGUCCACGCAUUUGAGAACAAGUAAGAUGGUGACAAAAAGCAGGUGAAAGAGGCCUGGAGAGCGAGAAAUGACAGCAGACCAGCACAGGAUCACCACCUGAGCUGAUGGAAAUACUGCUCCGAGGCUUGAUGUGGCGACAGGCUGUGCUUUAGAACAAGGAGACACACUUUGAAGGGAGACGGGAUGCAGGAAAAGGUCUCCAGGAGAGAAGCAGCCUGACGCCUGACGUCCUACGCACUGACCAGCUGUCUCAGCUCUGAGGCCUUUUCACACAGACUUCACUCAGAUAAACGUGCACGGCAGCCGUGGGCCUACAUGCACUCUUGCUCUGUUGCUGACCUGUGCAGCUGGAAAAACAUGAUCCACCCGGGUCUGACAGAACCCUCCUGACCAAGGCACGUCACGGGGGACAGGGUCUGAAAGAGAAGUGGGCUUUGAGGGGCUCUAAUAGCUGAAGGGAUGAAACGAGGCCUCUGAAAUCAGACCCACUGCCUUAGUCAGACCCAGAGUGACAGCA